CACGCCGUAAACGAUGUCUACUAGCCGUUGGGGUCCUUGAGACUUUAGUGGCGCAGUUAACGCGAUAAGUAGACCGCCUGGGGAGUACGGCCGCAAGGUUAAAACUCAAAUGAAUUGACGGGGGCCCGCACAAGCGGUGGAGCAUGUGGUUUAAUUCGAUGCAACGCGAAGAACCUUACCUGGUCUUGACAUAGUGAGAAUCUUUCAGAGAUGAGAGAGUGCCUUCGGGAAUUCACAUACAGGUGC
rnacentral:rRNA from 2 species